UACGGAGGGUGCGAGCGUUGUCCGGAAUCAUUGGGCGUAAAGGGCGCGUAGGUGGCCCGGUCAGUCUUUGGUGAAAGCGCGGGGCUCAACCCUGCGUCGGCCAGGGAUACUGCCGCGGCUCGAGCACUGUAGAGGCAGGCGGAAUUCCGGGUGUAGCGGUGGAAUGCGUAGAGAUCCGGAAGAACACCGGUGGCGAAGGCGGCCCACUGGUCCGGUACUGACGCUGAGGUGCGAAAGCGUGGGGAGCAAACAGG
rnacentral:rRNA from 1 species